rnacentral:rRNA from 1 species
CGCAUCUGUGCAUGCAGCAUAUCAAUAAGCGGAGGAAAAGAAACUAACAAGGAUUCCCCUAGUAACGGCGAGUGAAGCGGGAAGAGCUCAAAUUUGAAAUCUUAAAGGGUUUCCCUUUACGAAUUGUAGUUUAAAGAAGUGUUUUCUGUUGAGGUUUUGGUAAAAGUUCUUUGGAAUAGGACAUCAUAGAGGGUGAGAAUCCCGUAUUUGACCUUUACUUUCAACUUUGUGAUACACUUUCAAAGAGUCGGAUUGUUUGGGAAUGCAGUCCAAAAUGGGUGGUAAAUUUCAUCUAAAGCUAAAUAUUGGCGAGAGACCGAUAGCGAGCAAGUACCGUGAGGGAAAGAUGAAAAGAACUUUGAAAAGAGAGUUAAACAGUACGUGAAAUUGUCAAAAGGGAAGCGUUUGACACCAGUGUUGUUUUUCUGAAAAUCAAUUAAAGAACUGUUUAUGCUUAAGUUGUUUAGACUUUAUCAGCUAUCUGUUUAGUUUUGAGCUUUUCUUUAAUGCACUUUUCAGUUAACAAGUCAACAUCAAUUUCUUUUGCUGUAAAAAAGCUUGAGGAAGGUGGCUUGAGAUUCGUCUUAAGUGUUUAUAGCCUCUUGCCUAUGCAGUCGGAGAGAUUGAGGUCUGCAGCGUAGAUCCUUCGGGGCUAAAUGCAUUUGUGCUAAGUUAUAGCAUUUUAUAGACAACUUGUUGACUAUGAUUUGUCUUGUAGCUUACUCGCUUAUGUUAUUUUACCUACGCUUAGGAUGUUGAAUCUGUGCGAGACUAC